UGCUUUCAAUUCAAAUUCAAGAGUUUCAAAUCGAGUUGUCAGAUAUAGAAUGAAAAUCAAGGAUUGAUUUCAUGGAAAAUAACUUACAAAAAUCUUUCCAGUUUCAUUGACAAUUCUUCCUACACCGGAAGCAUAGUUGACACCCUGCAGAAUUACAGGUCCCCUGGUGGUUGGAGCCAAAUAUGGAGGAGCAAAAUCUUUAAAAUCGGUUUGUUGUCCCGGUAUAACAAAAAAUUAUAAACAAACAUAAAGAUUUUUUUGUUGUUGCUAAACAAACGUAUAACAGAUUUUGUCAAAGUUUGUCACAUAACAGAUUUAGUUUUUCGUAUUAAUAUGCAUCUUUAGCUAGUAAUUAAUAUGCAUCUUUAGCUAGUAAUGAUGAGAGUUCAACAUCAACUGAGAAAGAAGUGAGUGUCUUGGAGGAGCUUCUUGAAUCAGAACCAAAAAAAAGAAACCAAACAAAGAUCGAGUAUUUUAAAUGCAGUUUUAAUUUUAAUUAUGUUUUUUUCCCGAGUAUCCUUUUUUUCCCUGUGUUUUUUUUAUAAAUUUAUUUGUUUUUAUCUUCUUUUAAUUCUUUCUGUAUUUGAAGAGAAACGUGUAUCAAUUUGAUAAUAAUUAAAUAAAAAAAUUAUUUCUUUUUGACACAUCAGAACUAAAAUGUCACAUGUAUGUGUCACAUCAUCAAUUUGUGACAUGGCGGUUUCCAAUUGAAUCAAAAUGGAAAAAAUUGAAAGCUUAAUAACUUAAUUGAAAAAAUUAAAAAGUGGAAUAUCGAAGUGGAAAAAGUGUAAUAGUUUAGGAUAAUAAUUCAUAUUUAAGCCUAAACUCAACUACUCAAGUAUUGUUCUACCAUUUGCAUAUGGAAGAACAAAAUCUUACCUAAAAUAUCAGAUAUUGUUCUGCCAUUUGUGUAUCGUCAUGUUGGCUUCCCAAAAUCAAUACCAUUAGGAGGGUAAGGAUAGAGACACAAUGUAGUUAUUGUUUCUAGCUUCAACCAAAGAGUCCAAAAAUAAAAUUAGCAAAAAAAAAUUCUGCUGAACAAAUGCCCAACCAAACAAAGACUGUCAAAACUACACAACACCAACAAUAACUCUUUUUGAUGAUAGAUUAGCCAUUACAAUCAAUGUGUAAGAGAAAAAACAGUUAUGGGUAUGCUCUACCAAUACAAAAUCUGCAUGAAAAAACUAAGUAAAGAAUACUUUCCCCUUCCUCACAAUUGAAGGAUGAGGAAGAGGAGGAAGAGGAGGAAUCUCUACAAUUUAACAGAGUGCAACAAAUGUUCUUCAAAGGAUUUAAUAUUUUUUAAUUUUAAUAUUGUUCAAUGAAAAUCAAAGUUUUAGAUACCAAGUUAAUAAUAUUUUCAGACAUUGAUGAAAUGACCUACUACUUCACAAAAACUAAUUCCUUAUUUGUGAUUCAGUCAGAACAUACAUCAAACAAAUGGGAUGCAAAGACCAAAAACAAAAAAAAAAGAAAAAAUGACCAAUAACAAAUACUUGACGAAGUUAUUGGCCUCUCAGUGUCAUGGGUAUUUUAGAUUUGAUAAAAUGCAGAUGCAUAACAAAUAGUAAUAAGCAAAUUCAAAUACCUGAAGAUGGAAGAUUUCGUUCGAAAAGUGUGGAAUUAUUCACUUCCGAUCACUAGCUAAUCCUGUAUAUAGACAAUAUGUAUUUUCGUUUAGUAGAGUUUCUAUUUGACGGUAAAGAAAAACCCCAAAACAACCAGCCCCAGAGCGAAAUUCAUUCAAUAACCCUUAUACCUAUCUCAACUCACACCCAAAUUUCCUAAAAUGCCAAUUCAUUCAAUAACCCUUCUAUAAAAUUUGUCAAAUAGGAAUCAGAAAUAUAUACUUACAGAAGUGUGGAUGCCAAUAAAUGCAAAGAAUCCAAGUAUUGGAGCACAAAAAUGUUAUCUGAAUCCAACACUCCAAAAAAUAGGCUUUUGAUUUAGAGUAUUUUCAACAGCUCAAAAUACUGAUUAAAUAACAUCACUAAAAAACACACAAAGCCCCAGUUCCAAUUUAUCUAAAUUCAUUUUAAAAUUAAACCCAAUUAGCUUCUUCAACAAUUUUCACAAAGCCCAAUUACAAAAUCAUUAGAUGUUAACUACAGAUACUUAAAUUGCAAGAACUGAAUCUCGUUAUCAAUAAUCUAACAUAAAAACCUAAUAUUUUUCGAGAUAGAUUACACAAUUUAGAAACACUACAGCAAAAUAAAUUUGAUAAAAUUAGCUAAAUAAUGAAUAUAGAGUUUGUAUAUAUAUGAGAUGAAUGAGAUUUGAGUACCGUUUGGGAAUUGAGAAUGAGGACCUUUUGAAUUUGUAACGUUUGAGUUUGAAAGAUUACUAUGAGCAAUCAAAAUAUAUGCUAAGAUCGGUAGGAUGGCAGUGAGGCGUUGAUGAUGAUAUGUUGAUUUGGGACUUAUAUGUUUGUGAUAAUGGGGUUUGAAGAGAUCUGAUACUUGAAACAAAGGAUGGAAAGAAUUGGAAAACCCGGAAAAGGAAUCGACAAAAAUUGGAAGAAGAGGAAGAAGAAGAAGAUGGGAAAUCUGAAAAGAGAUGAAGAGAAACGGAAGAGUAACCGAUCAAUUGUAUAUGGGCUUUGGAAUUCAGAAUAAGGAGGGGU
rnacentral:lncRNA from 1 species